rnacentral:tRNA from 1 species
GGGCUCGUCUUCGAGGGAAGCCGUCUGCCUUGCAAGCAGAGGGAUCGGGUGCGACUCCCGACGUGUCCA